GAUGAACGCUGGCGGCGUGCCUAAUACAUGCAAGUCGAGCGAACGGACGAGAAGCUUGCUUCUCUGAUGUUAGCGGCGGACGGGUGAGUAACACGUGGAUAACCUACCUAUAAGACUGGGAUAACUUCGGGAAACCGGAGCUAAUACCGGAUAAUAUUUUGAACCGCAUGGUUCAAAAGUGAAAGACGGUCUUGCUGUCACUUAUAGAUGGAUCCGCGCUGCAUUAGCUAGUUGGUAAGGUAACGGCUUACCAAGGCAACGAUGCAUAGCCGACCUGAGAGGGUGAACGGCCACACUGGAAGUGAGACACGGUCCAGACUCCGACGGGAGGCAGCAGUAGGGAAUCUUCCGCAAUGGGCGAAAGCCUGACGGAGCAACGCCGCGUGAGUGAUGAAGGUCUUCGGAUCGUAAAACUCUGUUAUUAGGGAAGAACAUAUGUGUAAGUAACUGUGCACAUCUUGACGGUACCUAAUCAGAAAGCCACGGCUAACUACGUG
rnacentral:rRNA from 1 species